rnacentral:rRNA from 1 species
AUCGCAAGACCUCGCGCUAUUGGGGUGGCCGAUGGCAGAUUAGGUAGUUGGUGGGGUAAAGGCCUACCAAGCCGACGAUCUGUAGCUGGUCUGAGAGGACGACCAGCCACACUGGGACUGAGACACGGCCCAGACUCCUACGGGAGGCAGCAGUGGGGAAUUUUGGACAAUGGGCGCAAGCCUGAUCCAGCAAUGCCGCGUGUGUGAAGAAGGCCUUCGGGUUGUAAAGCACUUUUGUCCGGAAAGAAAUCCUCUGGGUUAAUACCCCGGGGGGAUGACGGUACCGGAAGAAUAAGCACCGGCUAACUACGUGCCAGCAGCCGCGGUAAUACGUAGGGUGCGAGCGUUAAUCGGAAUUACUGGGCGUAAAGCGUGCGCAGGCGGUGAUGUAAGACCGAUGUGAAAUCCCCGGGCUUAACCUGGGAACUGCAUUGGUGACUGCAUCGCUCGAGUAUGGCAGAGGGGGGUAGAAUUCCACGUGUAGCAGUGAAAUGCGUAGAGAUGUGGAGGAAUACCGAUGGCGAAGGCAGCCCCCUGGGUCAAUACUGACGCUCAUG